rnacentral:rRNA from 1 species
GAUGAACGCUGGCGGCGUGCCUAAUACAUGCAAGUCGAGCGAACGGACGAGAAGCUUGCUUCUCUGAUGUUAGCGGCGGACGGGUGAGUAACACGUGGAUAACCUACCUAUAAGACUGGGAUAACUUCGGGAAACCGGAGCUAAUACCGGAUAAUAUUUUGAACCGCAUGGUUCAAAAGUGAAAGACGAUCUUGCUGUCACUUAUAGAUGGAUCCGCGCUGCAUUAGCUAGUUGGUAAGGUAACGGCUUACCAAGGCAACGAUGCAUAGCCGACCUGAGAGGGUGAUCGGCCACACUGGAACUGAGACACGGCCCAGACUCCUACGGGAGGCAGCAGUAGGGAAUCUUCCGCAAUGGGCGAAAGCCUGACGGAGCAACGCCGCGUGAGUGAUGAAGGUCUUCGGAUCGUAAAACUCUGUUAUUAGGGAAGAACAUAUGUGUAAGUAACUGUGCACAUCUUGACGGUACCUAAUCAGAAAGCCACGGCUAACUACGUG